GGUUGUAGGGGUGUGAGCCGUGCAUGGAGAUUUGCUGAGUGCUCCCCCUGUACCGGCCAUGGGAGGCUGCGUGGGGCGACCCCAAGGGGAGACUCAGAGAUCGCAAUCGAGGGCCUCCGGGCAGCAGCAGCGCAAGAGAGCAGUUCUAAAGGACAACAACUCCCAUCGACCUCUGUUGUGAGUUGCACUUCCCACUGAGCCAAGUCAGCUGCCAGCUUGGGCUUUAUCGCCGGCCAGUGCCUGUUAUAGGGCUGCUUCACCUUUAAGUUCUUUUCAUAUAUAAUCAAGGGACAAAUUCUAAGCAACUUCUCAAUUGGUCUUCAUUUUAGAGUUUUUUUUUUUUUUUUUGCUCAAUAAUUUAUUAUUUUCAAAA